rnacentral:rRNA from 2 species
AGCGGCGGACGGGUGAGUAACACGUGGGUAACCUGCCUGUAAGACUGGGAUAACUCCGGGAAACCGGAGCUAAUACCGGAUAGUUCCUUGAACCGCAUGGUUCAAGGAUGAAAGACGGUUUCGGCUGUCACUUACAGAUGGACCCGCGGCGCAUUAGCUAGUUGGUGGGGUAAUGGCUCACCAAGGCGACGAUGCGUAGCCGACCUGAGAGGGUGAUCGGCCACACUGGGACUGAGACACGGCCCAGACUCCUACGGGAGGCAGCAGUAGGGAAUCUUCCGCAAUGGACGAAAGUCUGACGGAGCAACGCCGCGUGAGUGAUGAAGGUUUUCGGAUCGUAAAGCUCUGUUGUUAGGGAAGAACAAGUGCGAGAGUAACUGCUCGCACCUUGACGGUACCUAACCAGAAAGCCACGGCUAACUACGUGCCAGCAGCCGCGGUAAUACGUAGGUGGCAAGCGUUGUCCGGAAUUAUUGGGCGUAAAGGGCUCGCAGGCGGUUUCUUAAGUCUGAUGUGAAAGCCCCCGGCUCAACCGGGGAGGGUCAUUGGAAACUGGGAAACUUGAGUGCAGAA